rnacentral:rRNA from 1 species
AUACGUAGGGUGCGAGCGUUGUCCGGAAUUACUGGGCGUAAAGAGCUCGUAGGUGGUUUGUCGCGUCGUCUGUGAAAUUCCGGGGCUUAACUCCGGGCGUGCAGGCGAUACGGGCAUAACUUGAGUACUGUAGGGGAGACUGGAAUUCCUGGUGUAGCGGUGAAAUGCGCAGAUAUCAGGAGGAACACCGGUGGCGAAGGCGGGUCUCUGGGCAGUAACUGUCGCUGAGGAGCGAAAGCAUGGGUAGCGAACAGGAUUAGAUCCCCUGGUAGUCCAUGCCGUAAACGGUGGGCGCUAGGUGUAGGGGUCUUCCACGACUUCUGUGCCGUAGCUAACGCAUUAAGCGCCCCGCCUGGGGAGUACGGCCGCAAGGCUAAAACUCAAAUGAAUUGACGGGG